rnacentral:rRNA from 1 species
AGGAUACACCUGUUCCCAUCUCGAACACAGAAGUUAAGCUCUCAUGCGCCGAUAAUACUUGGCGGGAAGCUGCCUGGGAAUGUAGGUCGUUGCCGGUU